GAAAGAAAGAGAGAGAAAGAAAGAGGAAGAAAGAAAGAGAAAGAAAGAAAGAAAGAAAGAGGCCGGGCGCAGUGGCUCACGCCUGUAAUCCCAGCACUUUGGGAGGCCAAGGCGGGUGGAUCACGAGGUCAGGAGAUCGAGUCCAUCCUGGCUAACAAGGUGAAACCCCGUCUCUACUAAAAAUACGAAAAAAAACCAGCUGGGCUUGGUGGCAGGCGCCUGUAGUCCCAGCUACUUGGGAGGCUGAGGCAGGAGAAUGGCGUGAACCUGGGAGGCGGAGCUUGCAUGAGCAGAGAUUGUGCCACUGCACUCCAGCCUGGGCAACAGAGCAAGACUCCGUCUCAAAAAAAAAAAAGAAAGAAAGAAAGAGAAAGAAAGAGAGCAAAAAGGAAGCAAGAAAGAGAAAUAAGAGCAAGAGGAUGAGGCUUCUGAGAAGAAUGUUUUCAUAAGAAAAAUAAACGCAUGGAAGACCUGAUGCAUUUUAAUAUAACCACAGGAGAUUUUCAGGUCUGUUGAAGGGCUUCCAGAUGAAUUGUUGCUCAGUACAUAGACAAAUAAGGAAAUAAAAAGUGAGCCAAGAAUUAAUUCCAAUAAAAACAAAAAGCUAUAAAAGAAAAUGAAAUCAUUUACUAUAAGACACAGGUGAGAACAAUACAGAUAGUUAUCAUAUUGUAAAAUGUGAAUAUUGAUAUAGCCAGAAAGAGUGACAGAACACCAUUGGGAAGUUGAGAAGAAGAGAAGUGUCUACGUGUGCAUGUAUGCUUGGCCAUGUGCACACGUGUGCAGGUCAUGCGUGUGAGUGUUUGCAUAAGUUGGGUGAGUGAGAUGGAUGUCAAAGUUACAUCCUUAUCUCCCGUGGUAUGAAGUCAAUAUAAAAUCAAAAACUCAAGAAAAAAAAGGCACAUUACUUUGAAUUAUGGAGGUGAAUAUCAGAAGAAGCAACUAGAAUAGUUGUCAGUAAUUAGUUCAGGAGCCUGGACACAAAUGGUGAGGAGAGAAUGGGUAGGGCUUCCUGUUUUCAUGCUAAGCUCUUUGUAGCAUUUGACUUUUUAAGUCAGCAUACGUAAUAUUUUGAUUUGUUUUUAAAAAGAACAGAAAAAGCUUGGGAAAAUAUUUGCCAUGUUUCUGCAAAUGAGUUAAUAGUCAUUAGGUUUUAAAAGAAAUACCUCUAAUUAUAUUUAGUAGUAUUUACAAUGCUGUUGUAAAAAGGGUUUUACAGUUUUUUCAAGUGAGAAUGAUUGCGAACACCUUAACAAAAUUUUGAUUUUGUCUGUUAUAGAAACACAUUUUUUAUUUGGAAACAUUUUAAACAUUUAGAAAAGUAUAAAGGGUCCAAUAUACACAUUUCUGUACCCACCAACCAAAGUAAAAAACAAAUGAUAAUUUUAUCAUUUCCCUUCAGUUUUUUGUAUCAAAGAAAUAGAAUGUUAUGGACAAAUUUGAAGUCUUUUUCAUUCUCCUCUAGUCUCAUUCCCUUUCACCACCUCUGAAGGCAAUUCUCAUUACGAAUUUGGUGCAUACAUUUCCAGUCCACAUUUUAUGCUUUCAUUACAUAUGGAAAUAUUCUCAUAAACCAUGUAAUAUAUUCUUGCACUGUUUUUAGUAUUUUGUAAAUAUAUUCAUAUGGUGUAAAUUAGUUGGCAACUGCAUCUGUCAUCUAAAAUUCUUUAAAUGUAUCUAUGUUAAUACAUAUAGAUCUAGUAUAUUGGUUUUAACUGCUCUAUAGUAUUCCAUGGUUUCAGUUUUUUGUGUUUUUUUUUUUUGAGACAGAGUCUUGCUCUGUCACCCAAAUUUAUUUAUCUAAAAUUUAUCUAAUCUCCCAUUCAUGGACAUUUAGAUUGCUUCCAAUUUUUUACUAUUAAAAAUUACUUCAAUGAAGAUAUCUGUAACUAUCUCCUAGUACACAUAUUAAAACUUCCUCUGGCAUGUAAACACAGAAGUUGAAUUUCUGGUCACAGGUUAUGCACAUUUUCAACUUUUCUCAAUCUUACAAAAUUGUUCUUCCAAAUCAUUUAGGUAAUGUACACUCUCACGAGCAGCUUAUGGGCAGCUUAAGUAAUCCCAUGGAGUUACUGAAGUAUUACCAAGGUAUCUCACUUUGCCAGUCUAGUAGUUAUGAAAUAGUACAUUAUUAUUUUAAGUACCUUUUAUCUGAAAUUUAGUGAAGUUAACCAUCUUUUCUUAUGUUUCUUGGCUGUUCAGGUUCCUGGUUUGUGAAUUGCCUGUUCAUAUUCUUUGCCUAUUUUUCUCUUGGGUUAGUUUCUGUUUCUAACUUCUUUAUAGAAACCUUUUAAAUUCUGGACACUAAUUUAUACACACACACAUACACACACACAAAAGCAUACCUCAAUUUACUGUGCUUCACUUUAUUCAACUUUGCAGAUAUUACUUUUCUUACAAAUUGAAAGUUUGUGGCAACCCUGCUUUAUGCAAGUCUAUUAGCACCAUUUUCCAACAGCAUGUGCUUACCUCAUGUCUCUGUCAUUUUGGUAAUACUCUCAAUAUUUUAAACUUUUUUAUUAUUUUUAUAUAUAUUAUGGUGAUCUAUGAUCAGUGAUCUUUGAUGCUACUAUUGUCAUUCUUUUUGGAGUGCCACAAACUGCACCCACGUAAGACAGCAAUCUUAAUUGAUAAAUGUUAUAUAGUAUUCUGACUGUUCCACCAACCAGCCAUUCCCAAGUCUCUCUUUCUCUUCUUGGGCUUUCUUGUUCCCUGAGACACAACAAUAUUGAAAUGAGGCCAAUUAAUAACCCUACAAUGGCCUCUAAGUGAUCAAGUGAAAAGAAUAGUCAUAUGUCUCAUUUUAAAUUGAAAGCUAGAAAUGAUUGAGUUUUGUGAAGAGGACAUGUGGAAAGCCAAUAUAAGCCAAAGCCUAGGCCUCUUGCACAGCCAAGCUGUGACUGCAAAGGAAAAGUUAUUGAAAGAAAUUAAAAAUGCUACUCCAUUGAACACAUGAAUGAUAAGAAAGCAAAACAGCCUUAUUGCUCAUAUAGAGAAAGUUUGAGUGGUCUGAAUAGAUUUCUUUAAGCCAAGGCCUAAUCCAGAGCAAGGCCAUAGCUCUCUUCAAUUCCAUAGAGCCUGAGAGAGGUAAGGAAGCUGCAGAAGAACAGUUUGAAGCUAGCACAGGUUGGUUCAUGAGGUUUAAGGAAAGAAGUCAUCUCCAUAAUAUAAAAGUGCAAGCAAAGCAGCAAGUGCUGAUGGAGAAUCUGCAGCAAGUUAUCCAGAAGAUCUAGCUAAGAUCAUUGAUGAAGGUGGACACAUGAAAUAACAGAUAUUCAAUGAAGGUGAAACAGCUUUCUAUUGGAAGAAGUUGCCAUCUAGGACUUUUCAUUGCUGGAGAGGAGAGGUAAAUGCCUGGCUUCAAAGGUUAGGCUGACUCUCAUGUUAGGGGCUAAUGCAGGUAGUGACUAAGUUGAAGCCAAAUGCUCACUGACCAUUCCAAAAAUCCUAGGGCCCUUAAGAAUUAUGCUAAAUCUAUUCUGCCGGUGCUCUAUAAAUGGAAAAACAAAACCUGGAUGACAGCACAUCUGUUUACAGAAUGCUUUACUGGAUAUUUUAAGUGCACUUUUGAGACCUAUUGCUAAGGAAAAAAGAUUCCUCUCAAAAUAUUACUGCUCAUUGACAAUAUGCCUAGUCACUCAAGAACUCUUAUGGAGAUGUACAAGGAGAUAAUGUUGUUUUCAUACCUCUUAACACAACAUCCAUUCUGCAGCCCACCGAUCAACGAGUAAUUUUGACUUUUUAAGUCUUAUCAUUGGAGAAAUACAUUUUAUAAGGUCAUCAAUGCCAUAGAUAUGGAUUCCUCUGAUUGAUCUUAGCAAAGUAGAUUGAAAACCUUCUGGAAAGAACUCACCAUUCUAGAUCCCAUUAGGAAGAUUUAUGGGUCAUGGGAGGAGGUCAAAAUAUCAACACUAACAGAAGUUUGAAAGGAGUUGAUUUCAACUGUUAUGGAUGACUUUUAGAGGUCCAAGGCUUCAGUGAAGAAAGUAACUCCAGAUGUAGUGGAAAGAGCAAGAGAACUAGAAUUAAAAGUGGCACCUGAAGAUGUGACUGAAUUGCUGCAAUCUCACAAUCUAACUUGAACAGAUAAGGAGUUAUUUCCUAUGGGUGAGCAAAGAAAGUGCUUUCUUGGAAUGGUAUGUACUCCUGGAGAAGACGCUGUGAACAUUGUUGAAACAACAACGAAGGAUUUAGAAUAGUAUAUAAAUGUAAUGGAUAAAGUAGCAGCAGGGUGUGAGAGGAUUGACUCGAAUUUUAAAAGAAGCUUUAUUAUGAGUAAAACACUACCAAUGAGCACUGCAUGCUACAGAGAAAUCCUUUGUGAAAAGAUGAGUCCAUUGAUGUGGCAAACUCCACUGUUGUCUUAUUUUUUUAAAUUGCCAGAGCCAUGCCAAUCUUCAGCAACCACACUCUGAUUAGUUGGCAGGUAUCAGCAUCAAGGCAAGACCCUCCACAACAAAAAGAUCAUAGCUCACUGGAACCUCAAAUGAUUGUUAGCAGUUUUUUUUUUUUUUAGCAAUAAUGUAUUUUUAAUUAAGGUGUGUACUUUUUUAAACACAAUGGUACCACACACUUAAUAGACUACAGUAUAGUGUAAAUGUAACUUUUAUAUGCACUAGGAAACAAUAAAAUUUCUGUGACACAAUUUAUUGCAAUAUUUGUUUUCUUGCAUGUGUGGUGGUCAAGAACGAAACCUACAAUAUCA
rnacentral:lncRNA from 1 species